rnacentral:rRNA from 1 species
AUUGAACGCUGGCGGCAUGCUUUACACAUGCAAGUCGAACGGCAGCGCGGGGGCAACCCUGGCGGCGAGUGGCGAACGGGUGAGUAAUGCAUCGGAACGUAUCCUGUAAUGGGGGAUAACGUAGCGAAAGUUACGCUAAUACCGCAUACGCUCGAGAGAGGAAAGUGGGGGAUCGCAAAGACCUCACGUUAUAGGAGCGGCCGAUGUCCGAUUAGCUAGUUGGUGGGGUAAAGGCCUACCGAGGCGACGAUCGGUAGCUGGUCUGAGAGGAUGAUCAGCCACACUGGGACUGAGACACGGCCCAGACUCCUACGGGAGGCAGCAGUGGGGAAUUUUGGACAAUGGGCGAAAGCCUGAUCCAGCCAUGCCGCGUGCGGGAAGAAGGCCUUCGGGUUGUAAACC